rnacentral:tRNA from 1 species
GUGGUUGUGGCUCAGUGGCAGAGCACUUGCCUAGCAUAUGUAAGGCACUGGGUUCAAUUCUCAGAACCACA